GUCGCCGCCCCGCCAAUCCCGGGUGUCGCUGCCCCUUGAAAUCUCCCGAUCCGGAAUCACGCCAGCUAGCCACCCCACCCAUCGCGGCGGCGCCUUCUACCAUGACGCCGCCGCAAGCCUUCUACGGUGAUGCUGACGCCGGCCUCCUCUCGCAGCACCGCCGGCGCUCUGCUGGUAGAAGUUCGAGGCCGGAUCCAGAAGAAGUUCGAGGAAUGCUCCUAACACCAGAGCUGCCAUCCGCCCCCGCUCUCCGCCCCCGCGUGAGGAUCCUACCGGAGAAAGCGAGAUUGACUCGCCCAAGCAUUGACUCCUCCCGGGCUCUGCCACCCUGCUCCCAUGAUCCGCCGCCCCCCUGCAGCAACGCCCUUGCCCUCCAAAGCAGCAGCCCAGGGGCAUUAUGCCAUCUGUAGUGCAUCUAGCCCAACACACCAUGCUCCUCAACUCUCUCCUCUGCAUCUCCUGCCUUGGCAUCCCUUGCGUGUGACCUUCUCCAGCGCCUCUGAUCGACCUUCCCGUCAUCUCUUGCUUGAACCCGUGCGCCACUUCUUCUGAAUCAGCUCUACUUGUUCGAAGCUAUAGAGCAUUUUCUUCAGGGCAGUGGAGAGAACCCUCACCCUUAUCCGAUCUGCAGCGCCGCCCGAGUUGUCCCAAGGCAACCCCAAGCUGUUCAACUACGCAGCCCCAGGCCGUUCAAUGACAGAGCCGCUGGAAGUUCAUGAACACAUCACCUGGAUCCUGCUGCCCACCAUCCAGUUCAAUUUCUGCUGAAUCUGGUGAAGGGAGACUUCUUCUGAGAUCAAUUCCCUCUUUGGUUUCGUUUCCACAUGUCGCCAGUUGUCCCUUAGCUCGCCGCGUCUUCUCAGCAAGCCGUGGAGACAAGACCAUGCAUCCAAAAUUGUUCCUGAUGGAGACACCACUCUGCUUGUUGCUACCUACAUCCCGUGGAAGACAGUGGGCACGGCCUUGCUAUAGACCCUGCAUGUUGCUGCGGCCGUGCUCCUGGCUACCUAGGCGUGCCCGUGCCUCUAGCUCCCGCCAGAAAAUUGGCCACCAUUGCAGGUCAGCUUCUCCUGAUGUGCCAGUCCAGCUGCGAAAAUGAAGAGUACAGGGAAGCUUCUCCAGGAAAUGGCCACCAUUGCGGUUGGUUUCUCAAUCAAGAUGUUGCUUGUCUGAGAGUACAUGGAAGAAGAAAAUCACGGAGAAGAUAACGCAUCAGCACUGUGUGGGUAAGGUGAGAGAAGAUAUGAAGGGAAUGUGUGGUGGAGAAAUGCAAGUCCGCCACUAGUUAGUGCAUCUUUUAUGUAAAAAAGGAUUGGGUGCUUGUAGUUACAGUGUGGCCAUGUGAUUUGAGAAUAUUGUUUGUAAGCGUGCAUUGUCUUUUUGCUGCUGAUUCUUAUGCUCAAAUGAUCCCUAAAUUUCUA